GACGAACGCUGGCGGCGUGCCUAAUACAUGCAAGUCGAGCGCAGGAAAUCGACGGAACCCUUCGGGGGGAAGUCGACGGAAUGAGCGGCGGACGGGUGAGUAACACGUAAAGAACCUGCCCUCAGGUCUGGGAUAACCACGAGAAAUCGGGGCUAAUACCGGAUGGGUCAUCGGACCGCAUGGUCCGUGGGUGAAAGGCGCUUCGGCGUCGGCUGGGGAUGGCCUUGCGGUGCAUUAGCUAGUUGGUGGGGUAAUGGCCCACCAAGGCGACGAUGCAUAGCCGACCUGAGAGGGUGAUCGGCCACACUGGGACUGAGACACGGCCCAGACUCCUACGGGAGGCAGCAGUAGGGAAUCUUCCACAAUGGACGAAAGUCUGAUGGAGCAACGCCGCGUGAACGAUGAAGGCCUUCGGGUCGUAAAGUUCUGUUGUAAGGGAAGAACAAGUGCCGCAGGCAAUGGCGGCACCUUGACGGUACCUUGCGAGAAAGCCACGGCUAACUACGUGCCAGCCGCCGCUGUAAAAC
rnacentral:rRNA from 1 species